CUAACGCGUGAAGUUGACCGCCUGGGGAGUACGGCCGCAAGGCUAAAAACUCAAAGGAAUUGACGGGGACCCGCACAAGCGGUGGAUGAUGUGGAUUAAUUCGAUGCAACGCGAAAAACCUUACCUACCCUUGACAUGUCAGGAAUCCUGGAGAGAUCUGGGAGUGCUCGCAAGAGAACCUGAACACAGGUGCUGCAUGGCUGUCGUCAGCUCGUGUCGUGAGAUGUUGGGUUAAGUCCCGCAACGAGCGCAACCCUUGUCAUUAAUUGCCAUCAUUCAGUUGGGCACUUUAAUGAGACUGCCGGUGACAAACCGGAGGAAGGUGGGGAUGACGUCAAGUCCUCAUGGCCCUUAUGGGUAGGGCUUCACACGUCAUACAAUGGUCGGUUCAGAGGGUUGCCAACCCGCGAGGGGGAGCCAAUCUCAGAAAGCCGAUCGUAGUCCGGAUCGCAGUCUGCAACUCGACUGCGUGAAGUCGGAAUCGCUAGUAAUCGCGGAUCAGCA
rnacentral:rRNA from 1 species